UACGUAGGGCGCAAGCGUUGUCCGGAAUUAUUGGGCGUAAAGAGCUCGUAGGCGGCUUGUCACGUCGGGUGUGAAAGCCCGGGGCUUAACCCCGGGUCUGCAUUCGAUACGGGCAGGCUAGAGUGUGGUAGGGGAGAUCGGAAUUCCUGGUGUAGCGGUGAAAUGCGCAGAUAUCAGGAAGAACACCGGUGGCGAAGGCGGCAUCCUGGACCGGCAUUGACGCUGAGGAGCGAAAGCGUGGGGAGCAAACAGG
rnacentral:rRNA from 1 species